rnacentral:rRNA from 1 species
GCGAAGAACCUUACCAGGUCUUGACAUCCUCUGACAAUCCUAGAGAUAGGACGUCCCCUUCGGGGGCAGAGUGACAGGUGGUGCAUGGUUGUCGUCAGCUCGUGUCGUGAGAUGUUGGGUUAAGUCCCGCAACGAGCGCAACCCUUGAUCUUAGUUGCCAGCAUUCAGUUGGGCACUCUAAGGUGACUGCCGGUGACAAACCGGAGGAAGGUGGGGAUGACGUCAAAUCAUCAUGCCCCUUAUGACCUGGGCUACACACGUGCUACAAUGGACAGAACAAAGGGCAGCGAAACCGCGAGGUUAAGCCAAUCCCACAAAUCUGUUCUCAGUUCGGAUCGCAGUCUGCAACUCGACUGCGUGAAGCUGGAAUCGCUAGUAAUCGCGGAUCAGCAUGCCGCGGUGAAUACGUUCCCGGGCCUUGUACACACCGCCCGUCACACCACGAGAGUUUGUAACACCCGAAGUCGGUGAGGUAACCUUUAUGGAGCCAGCCGCCGAAGGUGGGACAGAUGAUUGGGGUGAAUC